AUGGAUCUCGUUACAAAUUUCCUUCCCCCUUCCAAGGUCUCAGGUGGAGGCGCGCUACGUUUGUUGCCCCAUCAUUUCCUGCAUUUCAGACCACCGAAAAGUGAGGAGGUCUGGAUUUUUGCUCAGUUGAGGACGCACUUCAGAAAUACAGCUCCGAGCCAAGAGAAGAACACUUUUAACGCAUUGAGACAGGAUUCUCGAUUGCUGUUGGCUUUUAGGUGGUCUGUGUAAGAAGAACUGAUUGUUUCAAUCCAUUUCUAACUGGGAUGAUAACUCCCUUCUCGUCCUUUUGAUCUAACUCGUCCUUUUUUGGCAUCGCGCUGGGGAGACCAAGUCCUGAACAGGGAAUAAAACAGAGCUUUUUGCCA
rnacentral:lncRNA from 1 species